AAACAAAACUGAGUCGAUCUCGCUAGCCGGAACGAGAAGCGCAAGAACGACGACCCUCCAAGCUGGAGACUUCAGGUGUCGUGAAGGCGGUUUGCUGACGAAAGUAGCAGUGGUAAGAAGGACAAGCACCGGUAGAACGGCGAGCGAGACAACAAUAAAAACCGGGAUCGGAACUAGGAUCGCGAUCGGGAGAGGGAAAACGACCGUCACCGGCACAAGUACAGUUCUUGGUCGGGUUAACAGUCGAAUUCAUCGUCCUCGAAGCACCACCACGAGGAACGCCAACGAAAGCUUUCCCACUCGUCGUCGUCCUCGAAUCAGCAUCCACACAGCAGAGCAAGUAGCCGGCGAGAAUCGACCUCGAACGUUACGAAGGACAAGGAGGUCAGCGGCAAUGUCGUGAGCGUUCCAGCUCUGGUGGUUUCACCCUCGGUUUCACCCGCCGCGGCCGAAUUAAAAGUCCCGGAAGCGGCCGUAGAUGUGGUGGUCGGUGCAUCACGUCGUUGACAUCAACUGCUGAAAAACUGGCCCAAAGUUUUUCUCCAAACUCUGCUCUGCUCCACCGAGCGAUCGACGUAGACAAGGCAACAUGGCUUGUGAUUUGCGAUUCAUAAACAGUUUGUUAAGUCUUGCACAACUUUUUUGCCAAAUUUUACUUUAUUAAAUUGAAAAGAUGUAAAAUUGUUACCUCGGUACUUGAUAAAACAGAAAUGAUUUGGGAACAUAAAACCAA